GUUGACGUGAACCAAUUAAGUUGAAUGCAGUUUUACGUCUGACGUCAUUACGCAAGCUUUGCCCGAGACAGAUCCACUUCUUGUACCGACCGCUUGUGCAGCCGCCAUUUCUUCUGACCAUCGACUGUCCACCGGAUUGUAAAACAGCCUGGAGCCAAGCAUCAUCAGACCAUAGAAGAUUGCCAUGGCAAGUUCAAAACCUGCAAGACUGAAGGUGAUUCUAGGAGAGAGCAACACUGAAAAACUGACUCUUUCAAAUGGCAUACCAG